AAUGUAUCGGCAGCACAAAUUAACAAGUCAUAUCUACUAAGCGACUUAAUAGAUGAAAUAGAAAGCGUUUUAAGAGAGUGGGCUAUAGGCAACGUCGAUUUUCAUUCUUUUGAUUACUUUUUAGGUCUGUAAAAUAUAGAAAAGAAUGAAUGGGCACACAAGCCUAACUUCCGAUAUAUAAUUAAUAGCAAAACUGUACAUCGGAGAUCAAGAGUCAACGGAAGCUUUACUCCUAUAGCCAGUACUAAACAAGCUUUAACCAUUAAGCUGCUAUGACAAACUUUACUAAGCUUUCAAAGGACUUACCGUUUUGCUCAUUACGGCGGAUUGAAGCAGAAACAAAGCCACGGUACAGAGAAACAGUACUCCUGACCGCUGCUCUUUGUCUGGAGACACGAAGCAUAGAAUUCAUAAACAUCUUAAAAGACAAUUAUUGAUGAUUUAUAACCUGAUAAUGGGUGAGAUGGGGUGUUGUGUAGUUUCCAACGUUGGUCCGGUAUUGUGUAACGAAAUUUGGUAGGACAGCAAGCUACAACAGAAAAAAAGAUGAGAAGGUUAACAAAAAACGGAAUUAUUUCUUAAACAGUUACGAAUAAGAUGAUAAUGGGGAAGUUCCAAUAUUACUAUUGCCUUAAUUAUAUUGUAUAAAAAACGAGUAGUAUGAGAUGUCCUUUUCUUGAUUGACUAUCGGUGCUCAUAACUUGCUAAACAUAUCUGAGUGUUAUAAUUAAAGGGAUCAUUGCUAUAUUUCUACUGAUUGUUUGUGUUUUUUAAGGUUCAUGAGCUAUACCCUGGAAGAAAUUGACUUAAAUUGUUUUGUUUACUCAUUUCUUAUACAACUCUUUAUGAACUAGAGGUUUAAUGUAUCAUGUUUGCCUCGGGAAUAUUAAUUAUUUUAAAAGCAAUAUGACCGAAAGAAAUAAAUUCCCUAGUGAUGAACGAUUUUCAGGUCGUUCAUUUUCGAUCUUGUCCUCUCAAUUAUUACAAUCCGUUUGUUCUAUUGUUUAAAGCAAACAUGCAUACAUUCUCUGUAUAUUACUGACCACAUUGUGUUAAUCAAUUAAAUCUAAUACGAAAUACUAUUUUUUAAUACCUUUUCGUUGGUUCAUUUAGUCGUUUCUUUUCAUCUAGUUUAUUCACAUUAAAUUUCAUAGCUUU